rnacentral:lncRNA from 1 species
CGAGUGCGCAGCACGAGUUUAAUCCAUAGCGGCGUUCGGUCACAAGUUGUCUUAUUUUUGAUAUUCAAAUACGGCGAUUAGUUAUUCUUUUUAUUACAUUGGCAAAUGGCUUUUUUUUAUGAAAUUAAUGUAGAAAAUUUAAGGAACUAUAUCUUUUUCCUACGCAUUGACAAUUUGUUUUGAUACGACGUUAUCGACGUCUUGACAACGCCUAUUGUUGUAUGACGUCAGAGAGUGAAAUAACCAUGUUUAUUUCACAUGUGAAAUUAUCGGUUUUUAUCUAACUGGGAAAUCAAUGUAAUUCAUUGCAACCAAUGUAAUAAUA